AUAAAUGAAAAAUCUUUAUUGCAAGGAGAAUGAAAGGGUGGGAUAUACCUGUGAACGGCGGUCGGGACUGCUGAUGUAACAGGAAGUCAGGACUGCUGGUAUAUGCCCCUCCAAGUUCUCUCUUGCUCUUGGUAAAUACUUGCAGAAAUAUGAAAAUCCACUCAAAUCUACCUCUUCUAGACCAUAUCUAACCUCCCCCAGACCAUAGAAGACUUGGAAAUAUAAACUAUCCGACAUGCCUGCCAACAUACACGAAACGAGCAGUCCAAGUUACUCUCAAUAACUUAAAUCAGUUAACUAUACGACACCUUCAUUUCAAUAAACGGUGAAAUCAUUUAAUUCUAUCAUCCACACUAACAACUAUUUAAGAGUAAACCAACCUUACGAACUAAAUUUAUCAUAGGCAUCUACCCGGGACAAUAUACGCGACAAGCACAAAGGUUCUUACUAAAUCUAAUAAUUCUAACUACCCCUAUAAUAACUACAUUGUCAAUACCUAACCAAAAUAUAACCGUAGCAAUGCAAAUAAUAUUCAUCUAAAUUUAAUAUACAUAAAUCAACAAACUAAAUUUAAUGUAAACUAAAUACCUAAGCUAAAUCCACUAUACUAACUAAGCUAUAUUUUUUUAUGUCUAAAAUCCGCUAGAUUUUUUCUAAGUUUCAGAUCUACUACACUAACUACUAGAUCUAUAUACUACUACAUCUAUCAACUACACUAUCUACAUUAACUAACCUACGAGAUUUUAAAAAAUACUUGAAAUGAAGCGACGACCGAAACUUCAAUCUUCCCCUUCCCCUCCCUCCUCCUCCUCCUCCUCCUCCUCCCUCCCUCCCUCCUUCUCCUCUCCUCUCUUCUCCCUCAGUCUCUCGCUAGCUUCCUCGCUCGGUUUGGCUCCCUCGCUCGGUCUGGCGCUGGUGCAUGGCGCGCGGGCGCGCGCCCUAUUUAUAACAGGAGGUCCCGCUGGCUCAUUUGGCGGCAAGGGAUGCCUCCCACCGUUUGAACUAG
rnacentral:lncRNA from 1 species